rnacentral:rRNA from 1 species
GCGGAGAUAAACUUAUAAGACGAGAAGACCCCAUGGAGCUUUAAACCCAAUAGCACCCGAUUAUUGUAUAACCUUAUAUAUGUCCGGCCUUUGUCUACUUGGUUUUAGGUUGGGGUGACCACGGAGCAUAAAAAAGCCUCCAUGAAGAAAGGAGUAAGUAUCCUUAUCAGAGAAUGACACUUCCAAGAAUUAAUAAACUAAUUUUUAAUGAUCCGAUAUUCGAUCAACGAACCAAGUUACCCUGGGGAUAACAGCGCAAUCCACCUCAAGAGCCCCUAUCGACAGGUGGGUUUACGACCUCGAUGUUGGAUCAGGGUAUCCCAGUGGUGCAGCAGCUACUGAAGGUUCGUUUGUUCAACGAUUAAAACCCU